GAGUGAGGGCCCUCUGGGUCCAACCUCCCACCCGUGUUUAUUAUACCUUGUUGCUUCGGCGGGCCCGCCUUAUGGCCGCCGGGGGGCUUCUGCCCCCGGGCCCGCGCCCGCCGAAGACAUCUCGAACUCUGUCUGAAGAUUGUAGUCUGAGUAAAAAUAUAAAUUAUUUAAAACUUUCAACAACGGAUCUCUUGGUUCC
rnacentral:misc_RNA from 1 species